rnacentral:rRNA from 1 species
AUUGAACGCUGGCGGCAUGCCUUACACAUGCAAGUCGAACGGCAGCACGGGAGCAAUCCUGGUGGCGAGUGGCGAACGGGUGAGUAAUGUAUCGGAACGUACCUUUCAGUGGGGGAUAACGUAGCGAAAGUUACGCUAAUACCGCAUAUUCUGUGAGCAGGAAAGCAGGGGAUCGCAAGACCUUGCGCUGAUUGAGCGGCCGAUAUCAGAUUAGCUAGUUGGUGAGGUAAAGGCUCACCAAGGCGACGAUCUGUAGCGGGUCUGAGAGGAUGAUCCGCCACACUGGAACUGAGACACGGUCCAGACUCCUACGGGAGGCAGCAGUGGGGAAUUUUGGACAAUGGGCGCAAGCCUGAUCCAGCCAUGCCGCGUGAGUGAAGAAGGCCUCGGUUGUAAGGAUCUUCUAGCGGACGAAACGACGA